AGAGGAUUGGUGGCAGAUGUUAGCUCAGGGCUAAUCUUCCUCAAAAAAAAAAAAGAAAGAAAGAAAGAGAAGAAAACCAACCGAGAGAUGGACAGACUUUCCCCAUCCAGCUGCAGGCAGCCAUGAAUGCCACCAGUCCCCCAGGUGAAGGAGUUCAGAACAUGCCACCCCAAAACAUGCUGCUUUGGAAUACUGAUUAUUUUGAGCUGACGGCCCCUGAGGACCAGCAGAUGCAGCAAGGACUCUGCUCUCCUGUUUCUACCUACAAGCAGGUCAUCAAAUUUCCCAUGAGAAAGGACCCUCCUGCCCCGGGAAGAGAGAGUUCUCAUCACCAGAGACUGGGGGGCGGUGACGAAACGGAUCUGUGCAAACAAACCUGCGAAAAUAACCCUUCUCCUCCAUUAGCUUCCUCCGUAUGUUUCCCAGUCACUGUCCCCCCACUUACUGCCCCAGCCAAACCCCUUCGUCUGUCACUUCCCCACAAUGUUUCUUUCUUUGUUGAAAAGGGUAUAUAAGCUUUUAAGCCCAACGGUUUCUUUGAGUCUUCAUUUUUCUUCUGAAGACUCCAGUGUACACGUGAAAAUAUUAAAUAAAUGUGCAUGCCUUUC